UUUUUCAGCUUGGCAUUAAGGUUUCUUUUUCAGUGGCUGCCAAAUGUUUGGUGAUGAAGGCAGAAAUGAAUGGCUCAAAACUUGGGAGAAGAGCAAAACCUGAAGGGGCCCUCCAGAACAAUGAUGGGCUUUAUGAUCCUGACUGCGAUGAAAGCGGGCUCUUUAAGGCCAAGCAGUGCAACGGCACCUCCACGUGCUGGUGUGUGAACACUGCUGGGGUCAGAAGAACAGACAAGGACACUGAAAUAACCUGCUCUGAGCGAGUGAGAACCUACUGGAUCAUCAUUGAACUAAAACACAAAGCAAGAGAAAAACCUUAUGAUGGUAAAAGUUUGCGGACUGCACUUCAGAAGGAGAUCACAACGCGUUAUCAACUGGAUCCAAAAUUUAUCACAAAUAUUUUGUAUGAGAAUAAUGUUAUCACUAUUGAUCUGGUUCAAAAUUCUACUCAAAAAACUCAGAAUGAUGUGGACAUAGCUGAUGUGGCUUAUUAUUUUGAAAAAGAUGUUAAAGGUGAAUCCUUGUUUCAUUCUAAGAAAAUGGACCUGACAGUAAAUGGGGAACAACUGGAUCUGGAUCCUGGUCAAACUUUAAUUUAUUAUGUUGAUGAAAAAGCACCUGAAUUCUCAAUGCAGGGUCUAAAAGCUGGUGUUAUUGCUGUUAUUGUGGUUGUGGUGAUAGCAAUUGUUGCUGGAAUUGUUGUGCUGGUUAUUUCCAGAAAGAAGAGAAUGGCAAAGUAUGAGAAGGCUGAG
rnacentral:sRNA from 1 species